rnacentral:rRNA from 1 species
AGAGUUUGAUCAUGGCUCAGAACGUACGCUGGCGGCACGCCUAACACAUGCAAGUCGAACGAAGUAGCAAUACUUAGUGGCAGACGGGUGAGUAACAUGUAGGUAUCUUCCCUUUGGCCUGGAAUAACACGAGGAAACUUGUGCUAAUACCGGAUAAGUCUUUACGGAGAAAGCUUUAUGCACCAUUGGAUGAGCCUGCACUUGAUUAGUUUGUUGGUGGGGUAAUGGCCUACCAAGACUGUGAUCAAUAGCUGAUUUGAGAGGAUGAUCAGCCACAUUGGGACUGAGACACGGCCCAAACUCCUACGGGAGGCAGCAGUGGGGAAUCUUGCACAAUGGAGGAAACUCUGAUGCAGCGAUGCCGCGUGAGUGAAGAAGGCCUUUGGGUUGUAAAGCUCUUUCGUCGGGGAAGAAAAUGACUGUACCCGAAUAAGAAGGUCCGGCUAACUUCGUGCCAGCAGCCGCGGUAAUACGAAGGGACCUAGCGUAGUUCGGAAUUACUGGGCUUAAAGAGUUCGUAGGUGGUUGAAAAAGUUAGUGGUGAAAUCCCAGAGCUUAACUCUGGAACUGCCAUUAAAACUUUUCAGCUAGAGUAUGAUAGAGGAAAGCAGAAUUUCUAGUGUAGAGGUGAAAUUCGUAGAUAUUAGAAAGAAUACCAAUUGCGAAGGCAGCUUUCUGGAUCAUUACUGACACUGAGGAACGAAAGCAUGGGUAGCGAAGAGGAUUAGAUACCCUCGUAGUCCAUGCCGUAAACGAUGUGUGUUAGACGUUGGAAAUUUAUUUUCAGUGUCGCAGCGAAAGCGAUAAACACACCGCCUGGGGAGUACGACCGCAAGGUUAAAACUCAAAUGAAUUGACGGGGACCCGCACAAGU